rnacentral:lncRNA from 1 species
ACCGUAUUUGGCCUGACGUGAGCGAUUUCCCUAAAGCAACCACCAGUUUUAUAAUUGUGUGUGACUACAGCUGCAGCAGCGACGCCGGAUUAAAUUUUCAAAGAUGAUUGUGGUGACUUGUGGAUUUGUUGUGGUCGUAUUGAAGAAAUGGAAAGGAUUGUGUAAACCAUCAUUAAGGUUAGUGAAAUUUUAAUGUGAGAUUUGUGACGUGAAUCAUUUGUAGCUAAUAAUAUAGUUGGUGCGAAAUUAGAUUUCACAUGGAUAAUGGGAAGAUAUGAGAGUGCAGGGGGUAAAUUUUUAAAUUAAAUUUCUGGAAAUUUUAUGAACAAUGUAGUAAUAUAAAGGAGUUUUUUACUAUUAUUUUUAUGUUAAUAAACACGUGUAUUGAAAUUGUAAGAGAGAGGGAUUUCGGCAACAGAAAUUCAGGCUAGUGGCAGCUGAACCUGGAAUAAUUGAGUUGAAUAUUGUUGCUGCAAAUAAUGUGGUGGGAAGUCAGAUUUCCUAUAGAGAAGUAGAAAAUAGUGGAGUAAAGGGGAAAAAAAUAUUGAAAAUGAUUUAGGGAUUAUACUCUAGCAGCUGAACACGGCCCAUUUAAAGCUGUAUGAUUGAUGAGAAACUUGUGGUUUGCUCUGUGUGUUUGCCAUAUUUCCUUUUCUUUAUCUUCAGGCUAACUAUGCCUUCGGCUGCAACUUUGGAGAAGCAUCUGCCAUAUUUCCUUUUCUUUAUCUUCAGGCUGACUAUGCCUUCGGCUGCAACUUUGUAGAAGCAUCUACAAAGUGACAAGUCAGAUGUGAAUCACACAGAAUUUUUGAAAAUGAUAUCAUAAUUUCUUGUGCUUGUAUAAUAACAAUGGGACUAAUUAGUUUAGAUGUUUUGUAUGUUUUUAAGUUAAUGUAAUAAAAAUUGAAUGUAUGUCUGGCGAUUCAACAGUAAGGGGGAAGUUAGUAAGUUGUACGAUGAACAUGUGUGGAAAGUACAAACAGGAAAAGUGAAAUUGCAGCAAGUAAUAAAAUGAAGUUAAGUGCAAGCAUUUAGAUGGUGAUACAGGGGAAAUGGUACAUGUUUACAGCUCGUUGUACAUAUGUUUCAUUGACUGUAUGCUAAUCUGACAAGCAUUUAACUGUAUGUUAAUGUAACAAAUAGCUGAUCAGUUAACAAUUGCCCAUGUCAUAACAGUUUCACUACAAUCCAUAUUUGGCCGAAACUCUUAUUGCUGGACAUGACUUCUUGCAAGUACUAUCAAGCAUCACUGAUGACGACUCCAUAAGUAAGUUUGUCACACAAUAAUUCAUAAUUGCAUUUUCACUUACUCUUUUUGCUAUUUGAAAUUGCAGGCUUGUAAAGGUGACUGUGUCCCAACAUGCAUGAUCCCUAAUGUUGCCAUGUGCUCGCCCUUCCACAUCUGUCCAUGUUAUCUUUCUUCCUAUGAUUAAAGCCGAAGCUUAUCUAUUACUUACAUUCAAACCAAUGCUGUCAAAGGAACUCCACCAACUAGGAUACUUAUACACAUUCUAUAUGCUCUAUAUUUACUGUUAUUUCACAAUAUAACCUACUUCAACUGUGUUUUGAUAAGCAUUCAUUGCUUUAUGGGACUUGUUUCAAUGUUAUGGAUGUAUGACAAUUAUGUGUUUUGAACUCCUGUUGUAUAUUUCUUAUGUCGACAUUGCAGCUUGGAUUUUUGAAUCCACCUUUAUACAUAUGCAGUUCCAGUAUCUUCUCACUGUUACAGUUGUGUUUGCCGUAUAUUAAUUAAACCUGCUUGUCCAUCUCUUCCCUUGCAUUUACUUCUGCAUCACCAUUUACUUC